AACGCACCUUGCGCUCCUAGGUCUUCCGAGGAGCAUGCCUGUUUGAGUGCCCAGAAUCAAUCUCAACUAAUACUCUGCGUGUUGGUUGGAUAUGGAGGCUGCCGUUGACUUGCUCACAGCUCUUCCUAAAUAUAUUAGCUGCUUGGUGAUAACACCGUUGGCUUGAUAUCAUGUCUAUGCUGCGGUUGAGUCGUUCCAGUGCUUCUAAUAGUCUUUGGACAAUUUUCUGACCUCGGGCCUCAAAUCAGGUAGGAUUACCCGCUGAACUUAA
rnacentral:misc_RNA from 1 species